ensembl:lncRNA
UUACUGCUAAGUGGUUUACAGAGCCAAAACCAUUCUCAGCGAAGUGCCCAAGGAGCUGGGAGGGAACAGAAUUAGAACAGCUGACUUUCACUGGUUAGAGGGAUAUCUCAUACCAUAUGACAUCCAGCAGAAGGAGUUUUGAAGGAGGUAGGAGUUCAUCUCUCUCUUCUGCUGCUCGGGAGGCUAGCUGGGAAUCAAUCGUUCACUUCCUUCCCGUGCAUGUCCAGCUGAGCUUUGAAAGUUGCUCAGUAGAUUCCACAGAAUCACAAAAUUGUAGGAGCUGGAAAGGACCUCCAGAGAUCAUCAAAAUAAGCUCAGUGUAGCAUGAUUCAUAGCGUACUGUUGAUACCCUGCACCUUCUGCUUAAAAUAAGGACUCCUUCCAAUUAUGAAAAAUAUCAUAUUAAUUGAGCUACAUUUUGCAUGAUUAUUCCCUGGGAAGAUGAGAACUUCUUGCUUCACUGUACCGUAAGAAUUCAUCUGGAACAGAUCCAAUUAGGAGUGACUUUAUGGUAUACAGAGACACUGGUCUGAUGAAUUUCUAAUGUCAAACAUAUAUGCUUUACAGCAGCAUUUAUUGGUAGCUAGCACUACUCACAUCUAGUUCCAAAAGUCUGUCUCAGGUACUGCAAUUGGUGGAUGGAAUAAGGACUUGUUAUGGGAGUCUUUUGGAGUGUAGCAAGCAAUACCUAUGUACAAAUAGUUACAAGAUUUGAAGCUCCAAAACAGCAAGCCAGCGAGGAUGAUUAUCUCAUUCAUUUCCUGUAGUUGCUGACAAGUUGGUCCAAUGGACACUCACAUAGGAACAGAAAGAAGACUAUAUGCAAGUUUCUCAGGACCUAUGGAACAAAUAAGAGGUUGCAGGUGGAAGUUUCCUGGAUUGCAUCAUUACCAGUGAUGACAUGUGGUGUCACCCCUAAGAGCUGGAGUCAAAACAGUAGUCCAUGAAGUGCCAGCACGUGAAUUCCCAUCAAGAAAAAAAGUACAAGAGUCAACCUCAGCAGGUAAACUGAAGGCUUAUGUCCCUUCUCCAAUUGCUUUGUCAAUGUCCUCUUCCCUAGAUAGGGAUCCUAGCUAUCUAGUUUUACUGCCUGCUCAGUGCAGGCUAUUGACUCCAUUAUCCUAGCAUCAGCACAGUCACAUGAUAAAAUGCUCACCCUGCUGGCAAUAUCACAUCUCACCACUCACUGACUGAUGCCUAGCAACUCCCAGGCAGUGGCCAAAUAACCCUGCCCAACUCCCUGCAGCUUUAUAACCUUCUGCCUGAUGCCUUGUAUUAUGGAAUAACCCCUUGACUAAUGAAG